rnacentral:misc_RNA from 1 species
UGAGAACUGCCCAGGGACUCACGAGAG